rnacentral:rRNA from 1 species
AACCUGCCCCUGACUCUGGGAUAAGCGCUGGAAACGGCGUCUAAUACUGGAUAUGUGACGUGACCGCAUGGUCUGCGUCUGGAAAGAAUUUCGGUUGGGGAUGGGCUCGCGGCCUAUCAGCUUGUUGGUGAGGUAAUGGCUCACCAAGGCGUCGACGGGUAGCCGGCCUGAGAGGGUGACCGGCCACACUGGGACUGAGACACGGCCCAGACUCCUACGGGAGGCAGCAGUGGGGAAUAUUGCACAAUGGGCGCAAGCCUGAUGCAGCAACGCCGCGUGAGGGAUGACGGCCUUCGGGUUGUAAACCUCUUUUAGCAGGGAAGAAGCGGAAGUGACGGUACCUGCAGAAAAAGCGCCGGCUAACUACGUGCCAGCAGCCGCGGUAAUACGUAGGGCGCAAGCGUUAUCCGGAAUUAUUGGGCGUAAAGAGCUCGUAGGCGGUUUGUCGCGUCUGCUGUGAAAUCCCGAGGCUCAACCUCGGGCCUGCAGUGGGUACGGGCAGACUAGAGUGCGGUAGGGGAGAUUGGAAUUCCUGGUGUAGCGGUGGAAUGCGCAGAUAUCAGGAGGAACACCGAUGGCGAAGGCAGAUCUCUGGGCCGUAACUGACGCUGAGGAGCGAAAGGGUGGGGAGCAAACAGGCUUAGAUACCCUGGUAGUCCACCCCGUAAACGUUGGGAACUAGUUGUGGGGUCCAUUCCACGGAUUCCGUGACGCAGCUAACGCAUUAAGUUCCCCGCCUGGGGAGUACGGCCGCAAGGCUAAAACUCAAAGGAAUUGACGGGGACCCGCACAAGCGGCGGAGCAUGCGGAUUAAUUCGAUGCAACGCGAAGAACCUUACCAAGGCUUGACAUAUACGAG